UACGUAGGGGGCAAGCGUUGUCCGGAUUUAUUGGGCGUAAAGAGCGUGUAGGCGGUUGGGUAGGUCCGUUGUGAAAACUCGAGGCUCAACCUCGAGACGCCGAUGGAAACCCCCCAGCUAGAGUCCGGAAGAGGAGAGUGGAAUUCCUGGUGUAGCGGUGAAAUGCGCAGAUAUCAGGAGGAACACCAAUGGCGAAGGCAGCUCGCUGGGACGGUACUGACGCUGAGACGCGAAAGCGUGGGGAGCAAACAGG
rnacentral:rRNA from 1 species